AACGAACGCUGGCGGCAUGCCUAACACAUGCAAGUCGAACGAGAGCGACCGGUGCUUUCGCUCGUCAAUCCGUUAGCGAACGGGUGAGUCACACGUGGUUAGCCUGCCCCUCCGAGGGGGAUAACAAUAGCAGACGGAUUCUACAACCGCAUAGGUCUUCGACCUGGGUGGGCCGCAGGGGAAAUGAGCCGCAUGCUUGUGUAGAUGGCUGCACCCGCGUUGCAUCAGAUAGGUGGUGAGGUAACGGUCCACCAAGGCGGUGAUGCAUAACGGCCCUGAGAGGGAGAACGGCCAGAUGGGGACUGAGGCACAGCCGAAACUCCUACGGGAGGCAGCGGUCGGGAAUCUUCCGGAAUGGAGGCAAGGCUGACGGAGCAACGCCGCGUGAGGGAAGAAGGAGUUCGGAUGGUAAAGCGCUGUUGUUAGGGAAGAACUAAUGCUAGGUUAACUGUGAGGGCCAUGACGGUACCGGACGAAUAAGCCACGGCUAACUACGUG
rnacentral:rRNA from 1 species